ensembl:lncRNA
AGGUAGGCAUUGGCAGAGAGAUAUCCAUGUACACACUUGCAUACACAUUCUCACCUGACCAAAGACUGGACUUGGUCUAAUAACUGGAUCGGGAUGACUGUUUCACUGUGAGUCUCAGUGGUUAUCACAGGAUGAAGAUGAAGAGACCAGCUCUGCUGUAACAGAGAUACAAAAAAAAGAUUCUGGGAGGCCCACAGAGGUAUAACAUAUAAUGUAUUCCCUUUCUGCAAUGUGAUCCCUUUCUCAUUGUUUAUUAUGGCUGGGGAUUCCUGUACAGAGGAGGGUCCAUCUACCUCCACACAGAAUCUUGGAAGUAAAAAAAAAUUGUUUGCAGUUGUCCUGAUUAAAAAUAUUUGGUCUGUGUAUUUAUUACAGACAUUUAUGAUAUCAAUCAUAUUGGAUUAUCAUUCUGUCUUCCUAGCUGCCUGCAAAGAAGCUGUACAAGGUACAUCUUCAAAUGCAAAUGAUAAAAAUUGGCAUGGAGAUGGAACUUCUGCAACUUUAAAUGGAGGGAAAAAGGCUAACAUAAAAAGGACACUAUUCAAAAGUGCACUCCAUGCUCCGUCAGCUCUCUGAAACAAACUAACCUGGAACAUAACCUGCUUCAGAUAGUAAGUUGCUGUGGCUACUUGCAUACCCUGAAAAUUUCCUCCAUUUUUUGGAACAGACAUUUGAGGUUAUUUGUUUACUCUGAGUAAACUUACCUAGCCCCACACAAAUUUAUGGAGAUACUAGAGAUCCAGAUCCUUUCUGCCUCUGGAUGGAGCUCAAAUCUUCUCUAAUUCCAGACUGCUGGAACUACGGCUGGCCAUACAGACUUCAUAUAAAUCCAUAAUGAAC